GAUGAAGAACGUAGCGAAAUGCGAUAAGUAAUGUGAAUUGUAGAAUUCAGUGAAUCAUCGAAUCUUUGAACGCACAUUGCGCCCCUUGGUAUUCCGAUGGGCAUGCCUGUUCGAGCGUCAUUAUAACCCCUCAAGCUCAGCUUGGUGUUGGGGCCUGCUGCACUGGCAGCCCUUAAAAUCAGUGGCGGCGCCAUCUGGCUCUAAGCGUAGUAAUUCUUCUCGCUAUGGAGUCCUGGUGGAUGCUUGCCAUCAACCCCCAAUUUUUCUAUGGUUGACCUCGGAUCAGGUAGGGAUACCCGCUGAACUUAAGCAUAUCAAUAAGCGGAGGA
rnacentral:misc_RNA from 1 species